UACGAAGGGUGCAAGCGUUACUCGGAAUUACUGGGCGUAAAGCGCACGUAGGCGGCUUUGUAAGUUAGAGGUGAAAGCCCGGAGCUCAACUCCGGAACUGCCUUUAAGACUGCAUCGCUUGAAUCCAGGAGAGGUGAGUGGAAUUCCGAGUGUAGAGGUGAAAUUCGUAGAUAUUCGGAAGAACACCAGUGGCGAAGGCGGCUCACUGGAGCUGGUAUUGACGCUGAGGUGCGAAAGCGUGGGGAGCAAACAGG
rnacentral:rRNA from 1 species